AGAGUUUGAUCCUGGCUCAGGACGAACGCUGGCGGCGUGCUUAACACAUGCAAGUCGAACGGAAAGGCCCUUCGGGGUACUCGAGUGGCGAACGGGUGAGUAACACGUGGGUGAUCUGCCCUGCACUUUGGGAUAAGCCUGGGAAACUGGGUCUAAUACCGAAUAUGACCAUGCACUUCCUGGUGUGUGGUGGAAAGCUUUUGCGGUGUGGGAUGGGCCCGCGGCCUAUCAGCUUGUUGGUGGGGUAAUGGCCUACCAAGGCGACGACGGGUAGCCGGCCUGAGAGGGUGACCGGCCACACUGGGACUGAGAUACGGCCCAGACUCCUACGGGAGGCAGCAGUGGGGAAUAUUGCACAAUGGGCGCAAGCCUGAUGCAGCGACGCCGCGUGAGGGAUGACGGCCUUCGGGUUGUAAACCUCUUUCAGCACAGACGAAGCGCAAGUGACGGUAUGUGCAGAAGAAGGACCGGCCAACUACGUGCCAGCAGCCGCGGUAAUACGUAGGGUCCGAGCGUUGUCCGGAAUUACUGGGCGUAAAGAGCUCGUAGGUGGUUUGUCGCGUUGUUCGUGAAAACUCACAGCUUAACUGUGGGCGUGCGGGCGAUACGGGCAGACUUGAGUACUGCAGGGGAGACUGGAAUUCCUGGUGUAGCGGUGGAAUGCGCAGAUAUCAGGAGGAACACCGGUGGCGAAGGCGGGUCUCUGGGCAGUAACUGACGCUGAGGAGCGAAAGCGUGGGGAGCGAGCAGGAUUAGAUACCCUGGUAGUCC
rnacentral:rRNA from 1 species